rnacentral:rRNA from 1 species
GACGAACGCUGGCGGCGUGCUUAACACAUGCAAGUCGAACGGAAAGGCCCUGCUUUUGUGGGGUGCUCGAGUGGCGAACGGGUGAGUAACACGUGAGUAACCUGCCCUUGACUUUGGGAUAACUUCAGGAAACUGGGGCUAAUACCGGAUAGGAGCUCCUGCUGCAUGGUGUGGGUUGGAAAGUUUCGGCGGUUGGGGAUGGACUCGCGGCUUAUCAGCUUGUUGGUGAGGUAGUGGCUUACCAAGGCUUUGACGGGUAGCCGGCCUGAGAGGGUGACCGGCCACAUUGGGACAGAGAUACGGCCCGGAGUACUACGGGAGGCAGCAGUGGGGAAUAUAGCACGAUGGGCGGAAGCCGGAUGCAGCAACGCGGCGUGAGGGAUGACGGCCUUCGGGUUGUAAACCGCUUUCGCAUGUGACGAAGCGUGAGUGACGGUAAUGGGUAAAGAAGCACCGGCUAACUACGUG